AAAGUUUCUCGGCCUUUUGGCUAAGAUCAAGUGUAGUAUCUGUUCUUAUCAGUUUAAGAUAAUCUAUUUAAACCAAUAUACCCCAAAUAUUACUAUGUCAAUGUCUAAUCAAU
rnacentral:snRNA from 1 species